rnacentral:sRNA from 1 species
CCCUAGCCCAGAUAGAAGCGGUAUCCUUUUUAUUCGCUUUUUUUGCGGAUGAAAAGAUACAAGCGGAUAGCUGGAAACAGC